rnacentral:rRNA from 1 species
UACGAAGGGGGCUAGCGUUGUUCGGAAUUACUGGGCGUAAAGGGCGCGUAGGCGGCGUGUCAAGUCAGGCGUGAAAGCCCCGGGCUCAACCUGGGAACCGCGCUUGAGACUGGCAUGCUCGAGUUCGGGAGAGGAUGGUGGAAUUCCCAGUGUAGAGGUGAAAUUCGUAGAUAUUGGGAAGAACACCGAUGGCGAAGGCAGCCAUCUGGACAGAUAUUGACGCUGAGGUGCGAAAGCGUGGGGAGCAAACAGG